rnacentral:rRNA from 1 species
CAGUAGCCACGGUAAUACAGAGGGUGCGAGCGUUAAUCGGAUUUACUGGGCGUAAAGCGUGCGUAGGCGGCUAAUUGAGUCGGAUGUGAAAUCCCCGAGCUUAACUUGGGAAUUGCAUUCGAUACUGGUUAGCUAGAGUGUGGGAGAGGAUGGUAGAAUUCCAGGUGUAGCGGUGAAAUGCGUAGAGAUCUGGAGGAAUACCGAUGGCGAAGGCAGCCAUCUGACCUAACACUGACGCUGAGGUACGAAAGCAUGGGGAGCAAACAGGAUUAGAUACCCCCGUAGUCCCUGUCUCUUAUAC